GGAGUGCCACCGGGCUCUGUCCUGGGCCCGGUUCUGUUCAACAUCUUUAUUAACGACUUAGACGAAGGGUUAGAAGGCACGAUCAUCAAGUUUGCAGACGACACAAAACUGGGAGGGAUAGCUAACACUCCAGAAGACAGGAGCAGAAUUCAAAACGAUCUUGACAGACUAGAGAGAUGGGCCGAAACUAACAAAAUGAAGUUCAACAGGGACAAAUGCAAGAUACUUCACUUCGGCAGAAAAAACGGAAAUCAAAGAUACAGAAUGGGGGACGCCUGGCUUGACAGCAGUGUGUGCGAAAAAGACCUUGGAGUCCUUGUGGACAACAAGUUAAACAUGAGCCAACAAUGUGAUGCGGCUGCUAAAAAAGCCAAUGGGAUUCUGGCCUGCAUCAAUAGGGGAAUAGCGUCUAGAUCCAGGGAAGUCAUGCUCCCCCUCUAUUCUGCCUUGGUCAGACCACACCUGGAAUACUGUGUCCAAUUUUGGGCACCACAGUUGAAGGGAGAUGUUGACAAGCUGGAAAGCGUCCAGAGGAGGGCGACUAAAAUGAUUAAGGGUCUGGAGAACACGCCCUAUGAGGAGCGGCUUAAAGAGCUGGGCAUGUUUAGCCUGCAGAAGAGAAGGCUGAGAGGAGACAUGAUAGCCAUGUACAAAUACGUGAAGGGAAGUCAUAGGGAGGAGGGAGCAAGCUUGUUUUCUGCUGCCCUGCAGACCAGGACACGGAACAAUGGCUUCAAACUACAGGAAAGGAGAUUCCACCUGAACAUCAGGAAGAACUUCCUCACUGUGAGAGCUGUUCGACAGUGGAACUCUCUCCCUGGGGCCAUGGUGGAGGCUCCUUCUUUGGAGGCUUUUAAGCAGAGGCUGGAUGGCCAUCUGUCAGGGGUGCUUUGAAUGCGAUUUCCUGCUUCUUAGCAGGGGGUUGGACUGGAUGGCCCAUGUGGUCUCUUCCAACUCUACUAUUCUAUGAUUCUAUGAUUUUGGGAGAUGGCUAAUCAAUACCAAGUGCUGAAGGGUAUUUUAUAGAGGAAGGCUCUGGCAAAAACACCUUUGAAUAUUCCUUGCUUAAGAAAACCCUCUGAAAUUAAUGGAGCUGUCAUUAGUCAAUAGGUGAUUUGAACCACAACCACACCAAACUGAAUGAGGAAUUAAUGGUGUUGCAAUAAUAUAAAACACCACUGGAUGUCAGGCAAUUCCCACAACAAGGUCUAUGUUCAGCUAUCCUAAUUGAAGUUAGUUAUCUUCCAGGGUGAUAAAGGAUACCUUCUUAGCAACAAGGUUUUCGAUACUAUAUUGCUUAACCUUCACCUAAAUCAUAAUCUAACUUAAAGUCUAUGCCAAAAUCAUCUUGGCUUGUCUGCAGUUUCUAGUCUGCCAUUGCUCUGUGAUAAACCCAUCUCCUACUAUUGACAGUAAACUUGUCACUUUCCUGGUAUAAUGAGGCUGGCACUGAAGUAAAAUCAAGGGGUGGCCUUCUCUCCCUUCCUCCCACUCCCCCUUGCUAUUUCCAAUCAGGUUAUUCUUUCAUUUCAAGUUUUUCUUUUCUUUUAUUUAUCUUAACUAUAAUUGCUUUCUUAAAACUGAUAUAUAUAUAUAUAUAUGUAUUAAAAUAUGGAGCAAGAGAACUGUGGAAGGGUGAAGCUACAAGACCAAAGGAACACAGAUUGGCAAAUCAGCAUGGUUGCACAAAGGCCAAAAGGUCUGAUAGCAAGAUAUGCUGCCAGAUGUUUUUGGAGUCCAGCAUUCCUCUUCAUUGGCUGUGAAAGUAAGGACUAUUGGGACUUACAAUCAACCAACACUUGGAAGAGUGUGCAAUUCCUUCCUUUGUUAGAGUAUUGGGCAAAGUGCUUUUUUCUGCAGCUAUGUUUUAUUCACAUGUUAAAGCCAAGAAAGGAGAGCGAGGGAAUAUAAAACUUUGGUCUAUAUCAAAUUGCAGACACCAAACGGAAUGUGUCCAUGGAAUCAACUGAAUGACAUAUCAACACUGAUUCAAUUGUCUCUUAGCAUUUCUUCUUCCAGGAAAUGCUAAGAAAGAACUUUGAAGGGCACCAUCAAGAAUGUUCUCUUUGCUUUGGAGAACAUUCUGCUUUACAAACAACUGAUUAGCUUAAUUUCCAAUACAGUACUUACAAAAAGUUUCAAUUUUUUGGAAAAAAAUAUAUUAAAAACUUGUAUUUUUCUAUAAAUACACUUGCUUUUAUUUACUGAAAAUAUUAAAGUCCAGCCUUUUAGUUAGUCCCCAGAAGUUUUUUUCCUAGUAUGUAAAACACAAAACACAAAAUAUUAACAAAGUGUAAAAUCUAUCAAAAUACUAUAAUGUAUCAUAAAUUGGAAGGAGGGGAAGGUUGUGGAUAAAAUUACAUUCAGCCAAGGCAGAACCAUGUCAGCUCAGAAGUGAUCAAUAUAAAUUAAAUCUACUCCGACUACCUAUUUUCUCCCUUUCCCUCCCCUCCUCCCCACACCCACCCAUUCCUAUCUGAAUCACAACCUUUCCCUUCCCCAACUUUCCUUUAGAAUUUUAAUUCUAGUGUAUUAGAAAUGCAUCAAUUAAAAUUAUCAUAAAAAAUUAAAUCUAAUUGCUUGUCCCAAGCAGAGUAGAUCCAUUAAAGCAAUGAGAUUUCCACAAUGUGACUUACUAUUUAACAGUUGAUUCAAUGGGCCUGCUAUUGACUAACAAUUGAGUUUAGCCUGUAUAUAUAUGAUAAAAUUACUUAAAAUAAAUGGACUUCGUGGGCUCAUUGUUGGCCUGAAUUGAUGAGCCCCUAUACAGAUUUGGUAUUCUUUAUCCAAAAUACUUAGGACCAGAAGUGUUCUGUAUUUAAGAUUUUUUUCCCCUUAGAUUGUGGGAUAUUUGCACCCUAAAAUGUAAGAUAUUCUGAGGAUGGAACCCUGAACAUGAAAUUCAUCAAUGUUUCAUAUACAUAACCUGAAAAUAAUUUUAUACAUAAUGUUUUAAAUCAUUUUGUGCAUCAAAGUUUGUGUAACUAAACAAAGGUAUCACUAACCCAGUCACGCAUAUGGACAAUUCUGGAUUUUGGAGUAUUUCAAAUUUUGGAAUUCUGAAUAAGGGAUGCUCAAGCUGUAUAUUCUUCUAAGGAACUAAUUCCACAAAUGUGGGGCCACAGUUGCAAGUGCAUGCUAGUCUAAUAUCUGUCACCAAUGAGCACAGAUGCGUUUUGUUUAUGUAAAGACAUAUGUACCAUAAUCAGCAUAGUAAUUUUGUACACUCCAGUGUUGAAAUGUGACAAUAUCACCAAAUAAAUGUCUAAUUUUCAGUGAAA